UUAAAUGCUAAUCCUGGGUAUAUGUGUAUGCUUAUGCGUGGGAUGUGAGGAGAGAAAUCCUUGGAGGUUUGGUUGAAUGAAAGCGAAAACCCGAGGUGUCGUUCAUUAGGUGCUCGGACGUAUGGGCUAAAGUGUAGCUCGACGUUGUGCUUAUAGUUUCCGAGUUGAAUUUAAUUUUGGGUGAAUUCCUUCGCUAUCUAUAAUUGUCAGCUUGAA
rnacentral:lncRNA from 7 species